rnacentral:rRNA from 1 species
AGCAGUAGCCGCGGUAAUACGUAGGUGGCAAGCGUUGUCCGGAAUUAUUGGGCGUAAAGCGCGCGCGGGCGGAUCGGUCAGUCUGUCCUAAAAGUUCGGGGCUUAACCCCGUGAUGGGAUGGAAACUGCCAAUCUAGAGUAUCGGAGAGGAAAGUGGAAUUCCUAGUGUAGCGGUGAAAUGCGUAGAUAUUAGGAAGAACACCAGAGGCGAAGGCGACUUUCUGGACGAAAACUGACGCUGAGGCGCGAAAGCCAGGGGAGCGAACGGGAUUAGAUACCCGGGUAGUCCCUGUCUCUUAUACA